UACGGAGGGUGCGAGCGUUGUCCGGAAUCACUGGGCGUAAAGGGCGCGUAGGCGGCAUGCCAAGCGUGUGGUGAAAGCCCGGGGCUCAACCCCGGGUCGGCCGUGCGGACUGGCGUGCUCGAGCACUGUAGGGGCGGGUGGAAUUCCUGGUGUAGCGGUGAAAUGCGCAGAUAUCAGGAGGAACACCGGUGGCGAAGGCGGGUCUCUGGGCCGAUACUGACGCUGAGGAGCGAAAGCGUGGGGAGCGAACAGG
rnacentral:rRNA from 1 species